AUACGUAGGGUGCGAGCGUUGUCCGGAAUUACUGGCGUAAAGAGCUCGUAGGCGGUUUGUCGCGCCGUCUGUGAAAUUCCGGGGCUUAACUCCGGGCGUGCAGGCGAUACGGGCAUAACUUGAGUACUGUAGGGGAGACUGGAAUUCCUGGCGUAGCGGUGGAAUGCGCAGAUAUCAGGAGGAACACCGGUGGCGAAGGCGGGUCUCUGGGCAGUAACUGACGCUGAGGAGCGAAAGCAUGGGUAGCGAACAGGAUUAGAUACCCUGGUAGUCCAUGCCGUAAACGGUGGGCGCUAGGUGUAGGGGUCUUCCACGACUUCUGUGCCGUAGCUAAAGCAUUAAGCGCCCCGCCUGGGGAGUACGGCCGCAAGGCUAAAACUCAAAUGAAUUGACGGG
rnacentral:rRNA from 1 species